GGAUUGAUUUCUUCCCUGCCCGCAACGCCGACACUCGGAAUCACCCUAACCUUGAGAACUGCUUCUUUUGCACUUGUUUGGUAACUAUCCCUAUGGGUAGCGAGGGUUGUCAGUGGGGAAUCAAUCUAGGAAUUCAAUAAGUGGGCGAGGGGCGGAUCAGAGAGUGCAGUCGAGUUGGGGGCUUACUUCUCACUUUUCUGUAUUCCGAGUUUAGAGUCGCUUGGCCUUUCACUCGCUGGUUG
rnacentral:lncRNA from 1 species